UUUUAACAUUUUAUCUGCUAUUCGUUUUUAUAACAGCAUACAUUGAUCACUGGUUUCUUCAUCGCUGCCUAAUUUUGGCGAAAUGAAGGAAUGUCACAACUUUACUGACGGAGAAAAAAAGUUUUGGCUAAGAGGAAUGCACGCAGUUGUAAAUGUGAACUGGUGGAUGGUUAAGAAGCUGAUGUGUCUUCUAGAAAUCUAAACAAAUUUGUGCAGAAUAUGAGACAGGCAGAAUAACCAUAGGCCCAUUAGUGUCAACUGUCUUUGCCAAUGGGUGGAUCCACACUGCAAAACUUAUGAAGAUGAUUGCAAACCGAAGAACAGUCCUUGGACAAAGCAUUAAACCCUCUUGGUCCCCACUACACAGACUAAUGACGUUGAAGUACCCAAAUGAAGACACUAGCAGUGUUAUUAUGGAGUAUAUGGUAAGUUGUUUUAUUGAUUAAUUUAUUUAUUUAUUGGUAUUUUCAAGGAUGAUAAAUGGUAAGGUAAAUUUAAUACGCAAGAAUUUG